rnacentral:lncRNA from 1 species
UCUUUGUGCUCAUCAAUAAUUUUAAAAUUUAUUCUAUCUUUUAUCCAUAUUGCUACUCCGCGUGAAUUACUUGUACCAUCACUUCUGAAAAUGUUUUUACCAAGUUCUUUAGACAAAGUAUCUUGCAUUUGUUUAGUAAAAUGAGUUUCCUGUAUAAAAGUUAUAUCACAUUUUUGUUGAUUUGCCCAACUUACUAUUUUAUUUAUUUUUUCAGGUUGCUGUAGGCCAUUAGCAUUGACCGUACAAAUGUGCAAAUAGUUUUUCAUGGUGGUUUAUAGUUGGAUAUUUUAAAUUUCAUACAAUAGCAUGGUGAGUUAUCUUUCUUACCAUUAAUAAUGAAGCAUUUAGUAUUGGUUUUAUUUAUUGUUAUUUUGUUAUUUCUUUUGACUGACUUAAAACUAAAUUCUUUUAGUCUUGUUUCUGUACAAGAAGACUUAUUUAUAGGGCAGUUUACAUACUGAUAUAGCAUUUGUUUUACCUGAGAAAUACCGUUAUACGCCUCACUGAUUGCGAUUGGUUUUUCAGAUCGUGGGUAUUUAAACGAUGAAUUUCGGUCUGUGUUUGUUUUUUUCUCAAAUAAUACCGGAUUUGUUUACUAUCUCUAUGUUUAUAGUCGGUGUAUUCCUGAUCAAUAUUUUUAGCAGUUUAUUUUCCCGUACCGUAAAAUGUAUUAUGCUAUCGAUCUUUUCCAUAAUUAGCAUUGAUAACCUAUUCUCAUGAUGAUUAUAUUCGUCAAGUAUAUGAUGUUUGUUUUGCAAUAGAUUUAGACUUUCGCUGUCCAGGUACGCUUGCUCUCUACUUUUAGUUUUGUACGUUCUAUAUUUUGACCUCAACGUUAAAGUAUUUAUAGAAUUUCUGGUCAAGGUUAUUUCAUCCGACUUUGAUGGAGACUUUUUAAGAUUGAGAUAAUAUGUUUUCUCGAUCAGGAUAUUUAGUAGCAGAUGGUAAAUACUUUAAUUUAAUAUUAUAGUAACAUGACAUAAAUAUUAUCAUCGACAUGACUAGAUUCUCUAGUACACAAUAAAAAAAAAUUGCCACUUUAUUAAAUACACAUACAUUAAUGUACUUUUUAUUUUUAUUUGUCUUUUUCUUUUUCAGGAUAAAACUUUCAUGAAGAACAGACC